rnacentral:rRNA from 1 species
GUGGGGAAUCUUAGACAAUGGGGGAAACCCUGAUCUAGCCAUGCCGCGUGAGCGAUGAAGGCCUUAGGGUUGUAAAGCUCUUUCAGCUGGGAAGAUAAUGACGGUACCAGCAGAAGAAGCCCCGGCUAACUCCGUGCCAGCAGCCGCGGUAAUACGGAGGGGGCUAGCGUUGUUCGGAAUUACUGGGCGUAAAGCGCGCGUAGGCGGACCAGAAAGUUGGAGGUGAAAUCCCAGGGCUCAACCUUGGAACUGCCUUCAAAACUGCUGGUCUGGAGUUCGAGAGAGGUGAGUGGAAUUCCGAGUGUAGAGGUGAAAUUCGUAGAUAUUCGGAGGAACACCAGUGGCGAAGGCGACUCACUGGCCCAAUACUGACGCUGAGGCGCGAAAGCGUGGGGAGCAAACAGGAUUAGAAACCCCUGUAGUCC